AGGGAUCAUUACCGAGUUUACAACUCCCAAACCCCUGUGAACUAUACCAUUUGUUGCCUCGGCGGCGUCCUGCUUCACGGCGGUCCCGCCAGAGGACCCAAACUCUUGCAUUUGAAUUGAGUCUUCUCUGAGUGAUACAAGUAAUAAAUCAAAACUUUCAACAACGGAUCUCUUGGUUCUGGCAUCGAUGAAGAACGCAGCGAAAUGCGAUAAGUAAUGUGAAUUGCAGAAUUCAGUGAAUCAUCGAAUCUUUGAACGCACAUUGCGCCCGCCAGUAUUCUGGCGGGCAUGCCUGUUCGAGCGUCAUUUCAACCCUCAAGCCCCCUGGGCUUGGUGUUGGAGAUCGGCAAAACGGCCCCCUCGGGGGUUCGCGCCGUCUCCCAAAUCUAGUGGCGGUCUCGCUGUAGCUUCCUCUGCGUAGUAACUCACCUCGCACUGGGACUGGGCGCGGCCACGCCGUUAAACACCCCACUUCUGAAGGUUGACCUCGGAUCAGGUAGGACUACCCGCUGAACUUAA
rnacentral:rRNA from 1 species